GUCCAUUCGGGGCAAACACAGAGACCUCGGGAGCCUGCCGCACCUCCAUCGAGCGGAACGGAAGAAUGGUGGGAGAACAGAGAAACUCCACCGCCAUGGCCCGGCGCCGCGCCUCCUCUGGUGCACUGGUACCGCUGCCAUGUGCCGUGCAGUGCGUUGGUGGGAUCCUGUCGUCGUGGUGGGAAUCCAGCGGCCCUGGGUAAUUCGGGUGUGCGCCCACAUUUGGCCUCGGUGACCAGCUACAGGAUUCCGCCGACAUCUCCAGUGCAAAUCAUGUGGUCAUUCCGGGUGGAUUGAUGCCGGGGGACCCUGGGAUUGUUCACCGGAAAAUCUACACAGCGGCAAAGCGACUCUGAGCGGUGACCGGAGUGAUUACGCCAUCCCAUUUGGUGAAGAGCCUGCGGAGCUUUGCUACUUUUGUGCAAUGGUGGUUCCCAAGCAGGAGGAAGAACCGAAAAUAGAAGUGCGUUGUUGUGGAUGGUGCUAAGUGCCGGUGGACUCAGCCUUCUUAAUAGUCUCAGUACCUCUUCUAUACUUCUUAUUGAGGAUGGUCACUUAAGCUAGCAUAUAUUUCAAACUUACAAGUAAUUUAUAACAUUUCAAAGUUUAUUUCUUUGAAUCACUUUGUAAUCACUCCGAUAAACUUAAUGUAAAUUUGAUGUAACUUGUAACCUUUUGUAAUAAAGAAAUUCCGCUGC